GAAACAGCAGCCGCCGCGGUAAUACGGAGGGUGCAAGCGUUAAUCGGAAUUACUGGGCGUAAAGCGCACGCAGGCGGUCUGACAAGUCAGAUGUGAAAUCCCCGGGCUUAACCUGGGAACUGCAUUUGAAACUGUCAGGCUGGAGUCUUGUAGAGGGGGGUAGAAUUCCAGGUGUAGCGGUGAAAUGCGUAGAGAUCUGGAGGAAUACCGGUGGCGAAGGCGGCCCCCUGGACAAAGACUGACGCUCAGGUGCGAAAGCGUGGGGAGCAAACAGGAUUAGAUACCCGAGUAGUCCCUGUCUCUUAUAC
rnacentral:rRNA from 1 species